GGUUAAGCGACUAAGCGUACACGGUGGAUGCCCUGGCAGUCAGAGGCGAUGAAGGACGUGCUAAUCUGCGAAAAGCGUCGGUAAGGUGAUAUGAACCGUUAUAACCGGCGAUGUCCGAAUGGGGAAACCCAGUGCAAUUCGUUGCACUAUCGUUAACUGAAUCCAUAGGUUAACGAGGCGAACCGGGGGAACUGAAACAUCUAAGUACCCCGAGGAAAAGAAAUCAACCGAGAUUCCCCCAGUAGCGGCGAGCGAACGGGGAGCAGCCCAGAGCCUGAAUCAGCAUGUGUGGUAGUGGAACGGUCUGGAAAGGCCGGCGAUACAGGGUGACAGCCCCGUACACAAAAUUGCAUGUGUUGUGAGCUCGAUGAGUAGGGCGGGACACGUGGUAUCCUGUCUGAAUAUGGGGGGACCAUCCUCCAAGGCUAAAUACUCCUGACUGACCGAUAGUGAACCAGUACCGUGAGGGAAAGGCGAAAAGAACCCCGGCGAGGGGAGUGAAAAAGAACCUGAAACCGUGUACGUACAAGCAGUGGGAGCCUCUUUAAUGGGGUGACUGCGUACCUUUUGUAUAAUGGGUCAGCGACUUAUAUUCUGUAGCAAGGUUAACCGAAUAGGGGAGCCGAAGGGAAACCGAGUCUUAACUGGGCGUUAAGUUGCAGGGUAUAGACCCGAAACCCGGUGAUCUAGCCAUGGGCAGGUUGAAGGUUGGGUAACACUAACUGGAGGACCGAACCGACUAAUGUUGAAAAAUUAGCGGAUGACUUGUGGCUGGGGGUGAAAGGCCAAUCAAACCGGGAGAUAGCUGGUUCUCCCCGAAAGCUAUUUAGGUAGCGCCUCGUGAAUUCAUCUCCGGGGGUAGAGCACUGUUUCGGCUAGGGGGCCAUCCCGGCUUACCAACCCGAUGCAAACUGCGAAUACCGGAGAAUGUUAUCACGGGAGACACACGGCGGGUGCUAACGUCCGUCGUGAAGAGGGAAACAACCCAGACCGCCAGCUAAGGUCCCAAAGUCAUGGUUAAGUGGGAAACGAUGUGGGAAGGCUCAGACAGCCAGGAUGUUGGCUUAGAAGCAGCCAUCAUUUAAAGAAAGCGUAAUAGCUCACUGGUCGAGUCGGCCUGCGCGGAAGAUGUAACGGGGCUAAACCAUGCA
rnacentral:rRNA from 1 species